AACGAACGCUGGCGGCGUGCCUAACACAUGCAAGUCGUGCGAGAAAGUUCCUUCGGGAGCGAGUAAAGCGGCGCACGGGUGAGUAACACGUAGGUAACCUGCCCCCCAGUCUGGAACAACUAGAGGAAACUCUAGCUAAUGCCGGAUGAGACCACGAUCCCUUCGGGGGUUGCGGCCAAAGAUGGCCUCUACUUGUAAGCUAUCGCUGAGGGAUGGGCCUGCGGGCCAUUAGCUUGUUGGUGAGGUAACGGCUCACCAAGGCUGUGAUGGCUAGCUGGUCUGAGAGGAUGACCAGCCACACUGGGACUGAGACACGGCCCAGACUCCUACGGGAGGCAGCAGUGGGAAUAUUGCGCAAUGGCGAAAGCCUGACGCAGCGACGCCGCGUGGGUGAUGAAGGCC
rnacentral:rRNA from 1 species